CCCAUUUUCACAGAUAGGACUGACUUCUCCACCACUAGAGGCAAUGUACACUGGCUGGCCUAAUUGAAGUGGGAAAAAUUGAGAAGUUUUCCAUUCCAGGCAAUCCAAGCAUUUUGCUGAACACCUGGACUAGGACACUAACCAGCUGAUGCCAUUCUCCCCAAGACACCAACAAUCUCUCACCAAUGCUCGCAAUCUCUUGAGGAGAGAGGUCAAUGCUGAUGAGUCAUUUGUAACCAGUCCGAUGAGAGUUUGCCUCAGCUGAAGUCACAUCAACCAGUUUCUUGUUACAUCUAUUUUUGAAUUUCUGAACAUUCAACUUUAGCAGAAUAACAUUCUUAAUUCUAGUAUCAUGAAGUAACAAAAAACAUCAGAAAGAUGCAAGCAAUUAUUAAAUAAAGAAAGUAAUAAUAUGUUGGGGACAGCAACAGAGCAACUUAAAAUGGACUCAUUAUAUUCCAAUAUUUGAAUGGAUAUCAGUCUUCUGUCUGUACAUAUUAAUAUAAUAUAUAGUAAAUUACAGCAAUCUAUUCUGGCAAUUAUUUC